UUAAGUUAUUAAGGGCGCACGGUGGAUGCCUUGGCACUAGAAGCCGAUGAAGGACGUUACUAACGACGAUAUGCUUUGGGGAGCUGUAAGUAAGCUUUGAUCCAGAGAUUUCCGAAUGGGGAAACCCAGCAUGAGUUAUGUCAUGUUAUCGAUAUGUGAAUACAUAGCAUAUCAGAAGGCACACCCGGAGAACUGAAACAUCUUAGUACCCGGAGGAAGAGAAAGAAAAUUCGAUUCCCUUAGUAGCGGCGAGCGAAACGGGAAGAGCCCAAACCAACAAGCUUGCUUGUUGGGGUUGUAGGACACUCUAUACGGAGUUACAAAGGACGACAUUAGACGAAUCAUCUGGAAAGAUGAAUCAAAGAAGGUAAUAAUCCUGUAGUCGAAAAUGUUGUCUCUCUUGAGUGGAUCCUGAGUACGACGGAGCACGUGAAAUUCCGUCGGAAUCUGGGAGGACCAUCUCCUAAGGCUAAAUACUCUCUAGUGACCGAUAGUGAACCAGUACCGUGAGGGAAAGGUGAAAAGCACCCCGGAAGGGGAGUGAAAUAGAACCUGAAACCGUGUGCUUACAAGUAGUCAGAGCCCGUUAAUGGGUGAUGGCGUGCCUUUUGUAGAAUGAACCGGCGAGUUACGAUUUGAUGCAAGGUUAAGCAGUAAAUGUGGAGCCGUAGCGAAAGCGAGUCUGAAUAGGGCGUUUAGUAUUUGGUCGUAGACCCGAAACCAGGUGAUCUACCCUUGGUCAGGUUGAAGUUCAGGUAACACUGAAUGGAGGACCGAACCGACUUACGUUGAAAAGUGAGCGGAUGAACUGAGGGUAGCGGAGAAAUUCCAAUCGAACCUGGAGAUAGCUGGUUCUCUCCGAAAUAGCUUUAGGGCUAGCCUCAAGUGAUGAUUAUUGGAGGUAGAGCACUGUUUGGACGAGGGGCCCCUCUCGGGUUACCGAAUUCAGACAAACUCCGAAUGCCAAUUAAUUUAACUUGGGAGUCAGAACAUGGGUGAUAAGGUCCGUGUUCGAAAGGGAAACAGCCCAGACCACCAGCUAAGGUCCCAAAAUAUAUGUUAAGUGGAAAAGGAUGUGGCGUUGCCCAGACAACUAGGAUGUUGGCUUAGAAGCAGCCAUCAUUUAAAGAGUGCGUAAUAGCUCACUAGUCGAGUGACACUGCGCCGAAAAUGUACCGGGGCUAAACAUAUUACCGAAGCUGUGGAUUGUCCUUUGGACAAUGGUAGGAGAGCGUUCUAAGGGCGUUGAAGCAUGAUCGUAAGGACAUGUGGAAGCGCUUAGAAGUGAGAAUGCCGGUGUGAGUAGCGAAAGACGGGUGAGAAUCCCGUCCACCGAUUGACUAAGGUUUCCAGAGGAAGGCUCGUCCGCUCUGGGUUAGUCGGGUCCUAAGCUGAGGCCGACAGGCGUAGGCGAUGGAUAACAGGUUGAUAUUCCUGUACCACCUAUAAUCGUUUUAAUCGAUGGGGGGACGCAGUAGGAUAGGCGAAGCGUGCGAUUGGAUUGCACGUCUAAGCAGUAAGGCUGAGUAUUAGGCAAAUCCGGUACUCGUUAAGGCUGAGCUGUGAUGGGGAGAAGACAUUGUGUCUUCGAGUCGUUGAUUUCACACUGCCGAGAAAAGCCUCUAGAUAGAAAAUAGGUGCCCGUACCGCAAACCGACACAGGUAGUCAAGAUGAGAAUUCUAAGGUGAGCGAGCGAACUCUCGUUAAGGAACUCGGCAAAAUGACCCCGUAACUUCGGGAGAAGGGGUGCUCUUUAGGGUUAACGCCCAGAAGAGCCGCAGUGAAUAGGCCCAAGCGACUGUUUAUCAAAAACACAGGUCUCUGCUAAACCGUAAGGUGAUGUAUAGGGGCUGACGCCUGCCCGGUGCUGGAAGGUUAAGAGGAGUGGUUAGCUUCUGCGAAGCUACGAAUCGAAGCCCCAGUAAACGGCGGCCGUAACUAUAACGGUCCUAAGGUAGCGAAAUUCCUUGUCGGGUAAGUUCCGACCCGCACGAAAGGCGUAACGAUUUGGGCACUGUCUCAACGAGAGACUCGGUGAAAUCAUAGUACCUGUGAAGAUGCAGGUUACCCGCGACAGGACGGAAAGACCCCGUGGAGCUUUACUGUAGCCUGAUAUUGAAAUUCGGCACAGCUUGUACAGGAUAGGUAGGAGCCUUUGAAACGUGAGCGCUAGCUUACGUGGAGGCGCUGGUGGGAUACUACCCUAGCUGUGUUGGCUUUCUAACCCGCACCACUUAUCGUGGUGGGAGACAGUGUCAGGCGGGCAGUUUGACUGGGGCGGUCGCCUCCUAAAAGGUAACGGAGGCGCUCAAAGGUUCCCUCAGAAUGGUUGGAAAUCAUUCAUAGAGUGUAAAGGCAUAAGGGAGCUUGACUGCGAGACCUACAAGUCGAGCAGGGUCGAAAGACGGACUUAGUGAUCCGGUGGUUCCGCAUGGAAGGGCCAUCGCUCAACGGAUAAAAGCUACCCCGGGGAUAACAGGCUUAUCUCCCCCAAGAGUUCACAUCGACGGGGAGGUUUGGCACCUCGAUGUCGGCUCAUCGCAUCCUGGGGCUGUAGUCGGUCCCAAGGGUUGGGCUGUUCGCCCAUUAAAGCGGUACGCGAGCUGGGUUCAGAACGUCGUGAGACAGUUCGGUCCCUAUCCGUCGUGGGCGUAGGAAAUUUGAGAGGAGCUGUCCUUAGUACGAGAGGACCGGGAUGGACAUACCUCUGGUGUACCAGUUGUCGUGCCAACGGCAUAGCUGGGUAGCUAUGUGUGGACGGGAUAAGUGCUGAAAGCAUCUAAGCAUGAAGCCCCCCUCAAGAUGAGAUUUCCCAACUUCGGUUAUAAGAUCCCUCAAAGAUGAUGAGGUUAAUAGGUUCGAGGUGGAAGCAUGGUGACAUGUGGAGCUGACGAAUACUAAUCGAUCGAAGACUUAAUCAA
rnacentral:rRNA from 1 species